CGAGUCGGCCGGGCGGUCGCGUCGCUGGCCUGACAGCCGGCGUCGAGGAAAGUCCGGACUUCAUCGAGCAGGGUGGUGGGUAACGCCCACCCGGGGUGACCCGCGGGAAAGUGCCACAGAAAACAGACCGCCAAGCCGCAAGGCUCGGUAAGGGUGAAACGGUGGUGUAAGAGACCACCAGCGCACCGGGUGACCGGUGCGGCUCGGCAAACCCCACCCGGAGCAAGGUCAAAAGGAUUGGCCCUCGGGCCGGUCUGCGCGAACGGGUUGCUCAUCCGAUGUUCGCGGGUAGACCGCACGAGGCUGUCGGCAACGGCAGCCCGAGAUGGAUGGCCGCCACCUCCGUUGGAGGUACAGAAUCCGGCUUACAGGCCGACUCGUCCC
rnacentral:RNase_P_RNA from 1 species